AACGAACGCUGGCGGCAGGCCUAACACAUGCAAGUCGAGCGAGCAUUUCGGUGCUAGCGGCGGACGGGUGAGUAACGCGUGGGAACGUGCCCUUUUCUGCGGAAUAGUCCUGGGAAACUGGGGGUAAUACCGCAUACGCCCUUUUGGGGAAAGAUUUAUCGGUGAAGGAUCGGCCCGCGUUGGAUUAGGUAGUUGGUGGGGUAAUGGCCCACCAAGCCGACGAUCCAUAGCUGGUUUGAGAGGAUGAUCAGCCGCACUGGGACUGAGACACGGCCCAGACUCCUACGGGAGGCAGCAGUGGGGAAUCUUAGACAAGGGGGGCAACCCUGAUCUAGCCAUGCCGCGUGAGUGAUGAAGGCCUUAGGGUUGUAAAGCUCUUUCAGCUGGGAAGAUAAUGACGGUACCAGCAGAAGAAGCCCCGGCUAACUCCGUG
rnacentral:rRNA from 1 species